GUGCCAACAGGCCAUUAUCUGACAAAUGAUUGAGAAAUGAUCUUAAUCCUGUAUUUCACAGAGGAGAUAUUGUAAAUCAAUUGCCUGUUUGUAAUUUACAGAUACCACUUUCUCCCUUUGGGUAAACUAUUAGGAGGUUGUGAAGCGCUCCGUGGACAACUAUGGAAGUAGACAGGCAAAAUAUCCCCAACUUUCAACAUCCAGCUCCACAGAGAAUUGCCUAAAUCAACCGCUUCUCUGAAAACCUGUGACUCAUCAAGACAUUUAGCAGUGAUUUCGGUCAGUUACUGAAAUGAGCUUCAGGCCCUGUGUACACAGCUACGUGAAGAUUCAGACUAAGGCCUCCUCUCCAGCCUAUGGUGAAGCCCCAACAUACAGCCUCAGCCUGUACACCUCCAGUCAUCUACGUGAUCCUUUUUCAGCCAUGGCCCCUGCUAAUCCAGCCCGUAGUCUGUUGCAUGAAAUGUUAGCUGCAUGCCAGGAGAAAUGCUCAAGGGGAACAAAGCUACGUAUAAGGUGGUUGUGUGGAGGAACAGCAGGUGAAUCAAAAGGGAGAUGCAAUAAAGGAGAGAGGAACUGGAAAAAGAUGUGUACACAUAACAGGGUGGCUGUGAAGCAGUGCAGAGAACAUGGAAGACUAGAACAAGAAACUGCAAUGAUUUCAUCUUGACAAGGUCUGGAACAGAGGAAUUAAGCCAUUGCCCACAGCUGGGCUUCACAAACAAGGGUGCUGUUUGACCUAUCAGUACUGAAAGGUUACAGACCUUGCAGACUUUAUCAAGCAUAACUGACCCUAUACUUUAGAUAGAAAAGAAUCAAACUUCUUGUUUCAGAUUGUCUGGAAGAAUUCACAGCUCUCCUACUUAGGGUUUUUUUAGAAGCAGCAGGACAGCUUGUGGUGCCAUGUCACAGCAGUUGCUUGCCACAGAAACCUCUUGGCUGCUCUUUUCUCUUUCUGCACAAGCUGUCACAUUAAUUGUUGCACCAUAAGAGAUCCCUCACAGCAGCAGUGGGGCCCAGGACAAGUUUUAUCUCCACGUGCUAAUUUGGACAACCAUGAAAGCUGUCUUGACUUGUUACCCCACAGCAAAAGACCCACCCUGGUCACUGCAGAAGAACUAAAUUACCACGCAGCAACAACCCCCUGCUCAAGCUUGUGGCCCACCCUAAAAUGCAGCUGAAAGCCUUCUCUUGUGCAGAGCCAGACCUCUACAGCUCCAUCACGUGGGAAAGUUGCCUGCAGCUGUCAUUUUUACGAGUUUCCCAGAUGCUUUGCAGGUCCUUUUCAAUGCCUGCAGGAUCAGUGUAAGGUGAGCAAGUUUCAGUGAGUUCCUCUGCUGCUGUCUCUGAUCGUGCACACCACAGUUUUACAAGAGGCUACGCGCCUCUUUGGCCCACUGGAUGACUACAGCUCCCCUUUAGCAACAUCAGAGGCCUCAUCUCGGAGGGUUAGCCCACGAGAUAACAGGUGGGCAUGAAAGCAGGGUACGGUAAUUCCCUUUCUCGCUCCUUUGCUCCUGGAUUUUGCCUUUUCACCGCGAACCUGCCCCGGCGCUCUCUGCUUUCAAAACAAAAGCGUGAGCGAAAGUCUGAGGCUGGCACGAGGAGAAGAAAAUCAGUCGACUUUUUAGCUUUGGGAGUACCCCUUCCCUUGUGUGCUCCCUCGUCACCGGUGCCGGGGAGCCCCCAGACCCGAGAAGACCCCGGCCUGUCCCUGAGGGGCAGCCCUGCCCGGCGCAGCGCGGCCGCCAGGGGGCGCCGCCGCCCCGGUGGUGGGGCGGCAGCAAGGCCCGG